UGUUUCGAGCCUAUGCUCUUCCACAGAAAGAAACAAGGAGAGAAAAUAAAAAAUGUGUAGUGGCUAAGGAUCUAUCAUGGCUAAUGCUGGACAGAGAGGUCACACUGGAGAACUAGGAAGAAGGGGAGAUAAUAAAGUAGUGGUGAUCCCAAAAUGAAGGUGCGUGUGUAUAAGAGAGUAUGUAUGUGUGUGUGGAUGUGGGGCUGGGAAGUGGUCAGUGCUAGUGUGUGUAGGGUGGUG